rnacentral:tRNA from 1 species
GGGCCUCUAGCUCAAUCGGUCAGAGCAUCUGACUCAUAAUCAGGAGGUUAUCGGUUCAAGUCCGGUGGGGCCCA